rnacentral:lncRNA from 1 species
AGACCAGCAUGAAAUCAGAAACUGAGUUCGGGACAGAGCUGUCCCAGGUGAGUGAGGGACUCCGAGGAUCAGGACCUAAGUUGAGGCCAAUGCCCGGGUGCAUGACCAGGGAAGUCCAGGUGCUGGAAUUGAAAGACAACGCAAGGCUGAAGCUAUUACUACUGAACUAUUUCACAAACCCAUUUUGAAAGUCAAAAACCGAGCACUGAGUCUUUCUCUGUAAUCCAGCUACACCAACCCUAAUCUUCUCUGAGGUGAUGCACAGCUGUCACUGGGGAGAAAUGGAAUGCCAGGAAAUGCACAAAGGAAAAGCAUCCUGACAAAUGUUUUCAGCCUUAUGCGCCACACCACUAAAGAACAUUGCCACCUGCUGUAGGAUAUGAAGCUUCUGAAGCACAUGAGAAGUAAGAGGAAACAAUGGUCAUGCCCCCAAAGGUCUUGCUCCACAGAACUGGAGGGACACGUUCUGAAGAAUCCCAGAUUGCAUUCCAGAUGCACCCCAUGGAAACAUGGGACUUUGGUCCUUUUCCAACACCAGGUCACAAGGAGAAAGCUCAUUUUGCAGCUACUCACAGUUACUAGCAGGGCCAUCAUCCUUAACAUUUUUCUGUUGACUCAGAUCUCAGUGAUUUGUAGAAGGAUAAAUUAUCUAAGUAUGAAUUUCCUCUUAAUUCUGAAUAGAAUCUUAUAAUAGCCUCUAUCCUGUUACGACGUUCCCAGUAGUCUUAUGAAUUCAGUAGGGAAUAAACCAGCUGUUUCCAUUUCAUGGGGAGGGCGGGAGGAACAAUCUUGGACUUUUUCUUUUUUUCAACCAAUGUUUAUUGAACCCUUAUUGUGAACCAGGAGCUGUAUUAGGCUCUGAGAAUACACAGUUAGCCUGAACCUACAUGAUGCUUAUACUAGGGAAGAAGACACAUAAACAGAUACUUUUAUUAUAAAAUGGUAGAAAUAAUUACUAGGUGUCAAAGGUUCAAAGUUGAAGGGUAUCACUCAGCCUUCCUGGAGGAGCUGAGACUUGAAUUAAGACUUGAAGGAUGGGCCAGAUGCCAAGUGGGGAGAAGAGCUCUGUUGAUCUGUUCAUUGUGGUAUCCCUACCACCCCACCACAUGGUCUAGUACAUGGAAGACAUUUAAUACAGUGAAUUUGCGAAAGAAAUCUCAGCAGAGGAAAUGUUAUAAGCACAAACAAGGCACGGGAAACUAGAAAUGAUUUGGAUUUACGAGAAGAUUAAUCCUUAUAGGAUCAUAGAUUUCUCUGAAAAACUAAUAGAAGCUAUGGUCCGUCUUCCUACCAAAAUUAACAUACACUCAACAUUUAACAGGUAAUUUUAGGGGGAUACAGAUAUGCCUGAAACUUGUACACACUGAGAAAUCUCUGUUAUAGGGAAUUGGGAGCAUUGAGGUUUUUAAAAACAUCUUUAUUUUAUUUAUUAUAAAGUAGGGGAAUGACAUAACUUAGAGUUACUUUGGAUGCAUAGUGAAGGAUGGGCUUAAGGAAGAUAAGACUAGAUGUGGCAGUUCACUUAAGAGGUUGCUGAAAUAAUUCUGGGUGAGUUAGCCAGAACUAGGAGUGAAGACACGGGCAUGGAGAAGAGUAGUGGGGUGAAGAAUACUUUAAGCGGUAAAACUGGCCUUGCUGGUGUUUGGUUGGAUUUGAGAGCAAGGAAUGGGAAGGAGCUAAGGUUGACUUUCAGGUUUUUUGAAGGACAGGGCAGAUGGUGGUGCUAGUAAUUGAGAUAGGAAAUGCAGGAAAAGAGGUUUGGGUCAGGAAUGGGCUGAUGGAGAGUCUGGGGACGGGAGAAAUGAGGAGUUUGGGUUUGGCCAUGUUGAGAUCACUUGAGGCGACCAGGUAAUGACAGAUACGAGCGAAGUGGAAGGAUAAUGGGGAGAUGCUGUAAACUUUAAGGAGCAAAGGAUUAUGGGAGAGUGGAGUGGGGGUCCAGCAUAUGUUUUCACUUAAUUGGGCAGUGAGGAGGACUGGUGGCCACUGAGUCUGAGGAAUGUGGGGAGUAAG